CAACUGCCUCCCCGCCAUGGCAUUCCACCCAGGUCUCCCGGAGGGGGGGAAAUGGAUUCUGUCCUCAGCCUGCUGCUCCUGGAAUUGCAAGCAUUCGAAAAUCUGAAAGGCUGUACUCCAAAAUGUAGACACCGAUAAUCUACUCAGGGCUGUGGAAGUUCAAUGGUCUGGUUCUGCAAGGCACAAGGGCAUCCCCUUGAGAGAACAAGCCGUGGCUGACAUCUUGGCUCAGGGCUGUGCCUGCUGGGAAGGUCCAUCUUUUUCUAAUCAUGCAUGGCACCGGAUAGACUGGCAUCGGAUCCAGGGAUUAUGGGAUUGUGCAGACCCACAGCCUUCCUGCGUGUGUCUUCCCAAAUGGGGAGUAUGGUGGCUAAUGAGGGUAUGAUGCCAUCAGGUCAAGAAGGAAAACAACAGGACACAUGCCACCCACCCACUUCUGCCAAUACCACUAGGAUUUGGCAGAGUAGUGACAUUUCACCAUCACAGCUGAAGAUAGGCAAAUAGAUUCCAUAAACUGGAUUAUUUCCAAAUCCUGAGCUGCCGCCUUUGGGAGCAGUGACUCUCUACUGGUGAUUCAGUGUGAAAUAGUUCCUGAGCUGGCUGAGCUGAAAAUUGCUCCCCACCAAGUUAGAAAAGGUUACGCUUCCAGAGAAUAA